GGAUCGCUAGUAAUCGCGGAUCAGCAUGCCGCGGUGAAUACGUUCCCGGGCCUUGUACACACCGCCCGUCACACCAUGAGAGUUUGUAACACCCAAAGUCGGUGGGGUAACCUUUUAGGAACCAGCCGCCUAAGGUGGGACAGAUGAUUAGGGUGAAGUCGUAACAAGGUAGCCGUAGGAGAACCUGCGGCUGGAUCACCUCCUUUC
rnacentral:rRNA from 1 species